UUGCCAGCAUGGACUGAAACUGAGGACAUAUCUACAGUAUUUCACAGAAUAAUAGAAUCAGUCAGGUUGGAAAGGCCCUCCAAAACUAUCAAGUCCAACCUCUGACCAAUCACCAUCUUCUCAAGUGCACUUGGCACUAAAUGCCACAUGCAAGUUAUUUCUUGAACACUUCCAAGGAUGGUGACUCCAUCACCUCCUUGGGCAGUCCAUUCCAGUGUUCAAUAACCCUUUUUUUGAAGAAAUUCUUCCUGGUGUUCAACCUGCCUCUCCCCUGGCACUGCCUGAGGCCAUGUCCUCUUCCCCUGUCACUGGUUGCCUGGAGAACAGUCUGAUCCCCAGGCAGCUACAGCUUCCUUUCAGGCUUUUGUAGAGAGCAAUAAGGUCCCCCCUGAGCCUCCUUUUCCCCAGGCUGAACGCCCCCAGCUCCCUGAGAUGCUCUUUAUUUGACGUACCCUCUAGACUCCUCACCACAACACACACGUGUGAUUCUGAAUUUCUCUUAAUGCUUGGGAAGAAGACGUCAAGAAGCCCAGCAAUGUCUUCAGACUCAGGUGUUUUGUGCAUUUCCACCCUUCCAGGCCUGAGCAGGAUUGCCCCAUCACUGCCAGCCAUGAAACCUGACAUAGAGGCCCCUGCAGAGCAACAGAGGUGCUCAAGGUGCUGGGAGCAGAAACAGAGCCUGCAGGAAACCUGGAAUGUAGCUCUGGUUUAUCUCUUAAAAAUGGAGCUGCUGAAGCCAAUACUAGAAAUACCUUUCUUCUGAGAUAUUCUUCUCUGUGGAAAUUGUCAAGAAGAAAAUGAGACGGUUCUGUGACCAAGCACCAGGUGUGUUGAACAGGGACAGCGGAGUGCUGGAUAAAUGCAGUCAAUGCCUGUAAGCCAGAGUUGCUUGGAUAAUAGCUAUCCAGCUGGUGAAGAAAUGAGAAACAUCAAUCUAAGGUACCUUAACUACAUUUUAAACUAGAAGUGUACCUGUAGACCCUCAGGUGCACUUGAAGAGGAAGAGCUUGUAAUUUUGCACAUUUGGUUGCUGUGCUGUAGGGUAGCAGACAUUUCUCUGUAGAACUUGGCCUGGGGACAGCCAAUGUCCUUUUGAAAGCUUUGAAGUUUGGGGUAGGCUCUCUAUGAAAUGCUAUCAAGGACAAAAAGAGUGUUAGCAACCUAAGGAGAGAGGAGGAUGACAUGGUGAUAUCAACUGAGUGCUUGGAGUAAGAAAAAUAAACAUGCUCAAGAAAAUUUAAAUAUGGCAGCAAAUUGUCUUAGCCCAUUUCCUUGACAGAACAUUAGGCUGGACCUUUUUUUGUUGCAGGUGAUUUUCAGGAGGGUUGGGCUUGUUGGGUUUUUUUAAGAAGAUGGUAAAUCAGACCUGAUAUACGAAAUGAAAAAAUUAUUUCUUCUCAUUUAAAUGGAGCUUAUUAUUAAUUCCCCAGGUCUGACUCACAGAACAGGAAAUAUAUUUUAAUCCUCUCAGGCUAUUGUGACAGUCACGACAAGCACUGAAGCACAGACACUGUGACGUGUGCCGAGCUGCGGUGGGCCUGGGUACCACUGUCAGUGUGCCUGUGGAGAAAUGUAAAAUGUACUGCUGGCUAACACAGAUAAGGCAGCCAGCUUAAGAUGUGGUUUAAGCAGCUCUAAAUGCAUUUCAUCUUUUAAAGGCAGAUUUAAGUUAAGGCCCUGGUGUAGCAACACAAAACUUCACACCAGAAGUCAAUAAUUUUCUGAUUACUGAUUUGAAAUGGCUGCUGAAGCAAACAAAUGAUGUCAAAGUUUAAAUGUUUCAAAUGUGAAUGCAAGUCAACAUUUCUGAUUGAUCUGAUUGUUUAACUUGAACUCUGCCUUCUUGGAAAAAGCUGACCAUAACAAAAUGUGUUUGAACCUCUGAAUUAUUAAUAUUCAAUUGAUAGAAUUUAUUUCCUGGUUUAGGUGACUUAAUUAGAAUCCACUUUCAAGACUUAUAAUGCAACUGAACAAGUACUGGAACAAUUGUUUAAAAAUAUAAAUCUUUGCCACUACUGAUGGAACAGGAUAUGGAAAAGGAUAUGGAAAAGACAUCUGGAAAGGCAGUAUUUUCAGUGGGGGUGAUAGCUGAACCAGAGUAAUCAUCAGAAACAUGGCAGAGUGAAUGAAUGGGUACAGUCAAGAAAAUCAUCCCUGGCAGAACAGUCUGCAUCCUAAAUGCAGAACAACUUCAAAUUGCAAUCCUUGUCUUCCAUACAAAAGGAAGUGAAACAAGAACAGAACAUAAAAAGAUGUUUUUCAAAGGAAAGGAAGUUUGAAAAAGGAAAGAAAUUCUUUACUGUGAGGGUGGUGAGGCACUGGAAAAGAUUGCCCAGAGAAGUUGUGGAAAACCCAUUCCUGUCAGCAAUCAAGUCCAGGCUGAACAGGGUUCUGAGCAACCUGGUCUAGUGGAAGGUGUGCCUGCCUAUGGCAGGGGGUUGGAACUAGGUGAUUUUUAAGUUCCCUUCCAAUCUAAACCAUUCUAUGAUUCUAUGAAAACAGAACAUAGGAACUUGUGGAAAAACUAGCAAGAAAGAUCUGUUAAAGAGCCUGUCACCUAUUUAGCACACAGUUGUCUAGCCCUUAAUUGAUACAAACAUUUAUUUGACAAAGAGCAUUUCACACUCUUAGUACCUCUGGGAGAGGCUGCCAAUUUGCAGCUUACCAGGAAAGUUACUGUGGGAAGGCUGUUAUAGCUGUGUUCAGUAUUAGUCACCAUCAACUCUGUCUGCAAGGGCACCCUGCUCCCAUUUUACAGCUUACUGGGAAAGCUGCUGUGGGAAGCCAGUUAUAAUUGUGUUCAGUUUUAGCCACCAUCAGUUCUGUCAGCAAGAGCACCUCAUGGCUGUCCUGCUCCCAUCAAUUCUGCUUCUUCAAAGGUGGAAUGACUCCAGAUACAUUUCCAUAGAACUUACACACUUUGAGACAUGUGCUUGGCAGCCCACAGCCCAGGACCUUCUAUUGAAUGCACAGGAAAAUGAGAUAAAGAAAGAAGCCUGAAAUCUUCUGAGCUGGGUGUUCAUUACAGGCAGGUGGGAGCUCCUUGUAGCUAAAUAUAGAUUGGAAGGUCUCUGGGCCUGGCAAAGCCUGGGUCAUUAGAGAAAAGCAAAUAACUUAGAUAAGGGAGAGCUUAGCAAACACACAUAUUAACUGGAAACAAGAUAAUGUUGCACUACUUGUUUUAUAGCACAUCCUUAAUUGCUGUAGACCAAGAGUCUACAAGGGCAAGGCUGCAGGUGCAGUAGGACCACUAUAACUUACUAACCAUUUUAUUUAUGAGCCUGAAUUACCACUUUCUCUCUUUGCACGUGGAUGGAAUAUCUCAGUAGUCUAGAUUCUUUUUUUUUUUUUUUUUUUAAUUGUGGUCUUACAGACUGGAGCACAAUGAGCCCCAUAUCUGGAGUCUCCAGGUGCUGCUGUAAUACAGAUAAAUAAAUGACUGCUAACAAUACAUCCAGAUAAAUAAAAUACACUGACCUGAUAUGAAUUACUGCAUUAGUUAGGCAAUUUCCACUCAGUAGCACUUUCUUACUCAGGGUACUAACUCACCAAAACAAAGCAAGAGUUUUUUUCAUUACUGUAUGUUACGUUAUGUUUUGUUUGCAUUUAGUUUUCUACCUUCACUGAAAUCCAUCUGAAAACUUUUUGUUUUCUUUACUGAACUCAAUGCUUGUCACACCUGGAAUACUGUCUUCAAUUCUGGACCCUGCUGUACAAGAGAAGAUGUGGAGAGGCUGGAGAGGUCCAAAGAAGGCCCACAAAGAUAAUCAAGUGACUGGGCAGCCUGACAUAUGAGGAAAGGCUGAGACAAAAGGCUUGGUUCACCCUUGAGAAAAGACUGCUUUGGAGGACCUUAUUACCAUGAUCCAGUAUUUAAAGUGUGGCUACUAAGAAGAGGGAGAUUUCAUUUUUUACAAGCACUCUCAAGAAAGGGACAAGGCAUAAUGGGUACAGGUUAAUCUUGGGGAGAUUCUGAGUGGACACAAGAGGAAAUUUUCAUAAUAACAAUCAGCCACUCAUUUAUUACAAGGAGAAGAAUCUCCACAGGGAAAUGGGGGAUUCCCCAAUGUUGGACAUUUAUGAGAUUCAGCUGGACAGGCUGCUGGACCAUCUUGUCUAUACCAUGCUUUUGCCAAGAAAGGUUUGAUCAGGGGAUCCUUGACGCUCCCUUCCAACCUGGUACUCUAUGAUUGAUUUUUGUGAUUGAUUCUGCUGAUUUCUUUUUAUGCUUGUUGACUUUUAGUGGCUAAUGGUGAUCAGGUGAUAACACAAGGGUGGCAAUACCAAAAAAGGUCCAGUGUUGGAUUUAUACAGGCACCCCUGAAGGUCAUGUGGCCAGGCAAGACAUAUAAUUCCAUGGGAAACACAGAGGAAUGGUCAGUUCUGCUUAAAAAUACCCUUCACACAUAAGCCAAGUGCUCCUGUGCACCUCACCCUAAGCACCAAGGUGAGGGGCCAGCAGAGCACCAGAAGGUGGCACAAACAACUAUGGAAAACACUUGAUGCUGCACCUGAAACUUGGUAUUUAUUUGCCAGCUACCAGGUAAAUCCCACCUCACCCCAAAACAACAUUUAGGGAGCACUGCCCACACUGGAGCACUAAGAUGGAGGGUCUUUUGGCACAGAGAAUCUCAGGGCUGAAAGUAGUGCAGUAGGCUAGGUUUGUAGGGAUGGAAAGAGAAUAAGAUAGAGAGAAUUUCCUGUCCUGGAAGACAAGAUAGGUCUAGGAUCAUCUAGAUCUCCUCUUUGGUUAAAUCAAAGUUGGGCGUAUCUGUGAUGUAUGUCACAGAAAUUGCCAAAGGUAAAGGCGGACAGUCUUUUAAAUGUUUGACAUCUAUUUACUUACAUUUGUCAUUAUUUCAAACCCACAAUAAAUAAAGGAGAAAAUAUUAUUACCUACUUUUGUGGUUAUUACUUCUUGUUUUUCCUGGCACUUCCACAGAUUCUAACAUAAAUUUCAGUCUUUGUUUUAAAACAAGGCACUGUUUCUCAUGGUUAGAGAGAAAAAGAUGAAAAACUUAACCCUGAAGUCAAAAUGCAGGAGUCACCACAAAGAAACUUGUAUUUAUCUUCAUUUCACAGCUCAUUUUUUAAGUCUAUCCUCUGAUUUGUAGAGCUGAUACAACAUUUUCAGUGUCCUAGCCUGUCAAGAGUGGUAUAUGAAGUACACAAGGAAGCUAAGAACUAAGCACACUGGAAUUCUAUGGCAAUGUUGUGUCUGCCCCAGAGAACAGAGGAAGAUUUUAGAACAAAAAUAAUAUUGCAGAUAUUAUAAAUAUUGCAUGAAUGCUUUGCCUUGCUUCUGUCUUUAAGAGCUCAUCAGGUAACAGCUUUUCUAUACAGAUGAGUGUUCUCGAAGUUCAGGAAAACUCAGGUAAUUGAGUGGUACAGUCAAAACUCAGUACAAGUCUUUAGCGUGUGCUAAUUUUUUAACUCUCCUUUUCUCCCCUAAGGUACAUUUGUAAUGACAGUACAAGUAACAUAAGAUUAGUUUAUCAUUUCUAUCACUACUGAUACUGCAAUUUACAUGGUCAUUAGUAUAUAGAGAGGAAUACUAAAAAUUAGCAGGAAUUAAAGAUAUUGUGUAUCAUACACCUUAGUAACUUUCAAUUUCCAUUUUAAUAAUUACUCAAAGCAGACUACUCUCUGUAAUCUGCCACAGCAGGUCCUGGCCUGAGGCUGAAGAAUACCUGCUCACUCCAGCAACUGGUGGCCAUCCUGAGGUCCCUCUGAAGAUUGUUGUGUAGUUGCCUGGCUGGCAAUGGUUUACCCUGUGUCUUGGGUUACAAUGAAAAAGUGUAACCAAAGUAUGUAUUCUGUGAUCAUCUUCAUAAGCUGUUAAAACAGGUGGGGCAGUGUUCCUUAUCUCUUCCAUGGCUCAUCCCUGAUAACUCCCUCUGGGAGGCUAUCUCUGCUAAUGGGCCAUGAAGGUCUCCCAGCACGUCUCACAGAAUUACAUCAUCUCAUUCUGAGAUGCCCCGCCCAGGGGGAGGAAUCAAGCAUUCCUACCUGGAUAUAAUCUGAGACUUGGAACACCACAGGAGCACUACCACUGGAUUCCCAGAGGACAAGAACUUGACACCCACCACUGGACCUCCAGAGAAAGAUCAGAUCUUUCUACAAGAUCACUGCUUCGACAAAACCACAUCCAUCACUCCAACAGGACUGUAGCUGCCAUUUAAUCGACUGCUACCAUCACAGAGUGUCAGCUCAUAUUCUGACUCUGUCAGUUUAAGGCAGUGUUUCUGUAAUUAUUGCCUUUUUCGUAAUUUUUCUAUUAAAUUGUAGUUCUGA